UACGGAGGAUCCGAGCGUUAUCCGGAUUUAUUGGGUUUAAAGGGUGCGCAGGCGGGGGAUUAAGUCGGCGGUGAAAUUUUGCAGCUCAACUGUAAAAGUGCCUUCGAAACUGGUUUCCUUGAGUGUAGAUGAAGUAGGCGGAAUUUGUGGUGUAGCGGUGAAAUGCAUAGAUAUCACGAGGAACUCCGAUUGCGAAGGCAGCUUACUAAGCUACUACUGACGCUCAGGCACGAAGGCGUGGGGAUCAAACAGGAUUAGAUACCCCUGUAGUCCCU
rnacentral:rRNA from 1 species